ACCACGUUGAUAGGCUGGAUGUGUAAGUGCGGUAACGUAUUGAGCUAACCAGUACUAAUUACUCGAUAGAUUUAGUCGU
rnacentral:rRNA from 1 species